rnacentral:tRNA from 1 species
GCGGGUGUAGCUCAAUUGGUAGAGUAGUGGUCUCCAAAACCAUUGGUUGGGAGUUCGAGUCUUCCCGCCCGCG